AAUGAACGCUGGCGGCGUGCUUAACACAUGCAAGUCGUGCGCGAAAGUGACUUCGGUCACUGGAGAGCGGCGAACGGGUGAGUAACACGUGGACAACCUGCCUGGAAGUGGGGGAUAACCUGGGGAAACGUUGGGCUAAUACCGCAUACGUUCGUGGAGUCUCGGCUCUGCGAACAAAGAUGGCCUCUGCUUGCAAGCUAUCGCUACCAGAGGGGUCCGCGCCNGAUUAGCUAGUUGGUAGGGUAAUGGCCUACCAAGGCGACGAUCAGUAGCCGGCCUGAGAGGGUGAUCGGCCACACUGGAACUGAGACACGGUCCAGACUCCUACGGGAGGCAGCAGUGGGGAAUAUUGGACAAUGGGCGCAAGCCUGAUCCAGCAACGCCGCGU
rnacentral:rRNA from 1 species